CCUUCGAUAGCUCAGUUGGUAGAGCGGUGGACUGUAGUUGGGAAACAAAGAAAAUCAGGUAUCCAUAGGUCGCUGGUUCGAAUCCGGCUCGAAGGA
rnacentral:tRNA from 1 species